GGGCUGCGGUAAUUUGACCGUGCUAAGGUAGCAUAAUCAAUAGUCUUUUCAUUGAAGACUGGAAUGAAUGGUGUGACGAAAAGCAAGCUUUAUUAGGUAUAAAAGAUGAAGUUUACUUUUAAGUGAAAAGGCUUAAAUAUUAUUGAGUGACGAUAAGACCCUAUAAAACUUAAUAUCGUAAAUUAGUUUUAAUUGUAAAGUAAAUAUUAAACUAAAAAACCUUUAUUUAGUUGGGGCGACUAGAAUAUAAUAAGUAGCUGUUCACUUAGAUUAAUAGUAUAAGUUGUUUCAAAACUUUUAAUAAAAAUUUAAAACUAAGUUACUUUAGGGAUAACAGCGUUAUUCUUUCUGAGAGUUCUUAUCGAAGAAAAGAUUUGCGACCUCGAUGUUGAAUUAAAAUUUUUAAUAGGCGUAGCCGUUUAAAUAAUAGGUCUGUUCGACCUUUAAAAUUU
rnacentral:rRNA from 1 species